CUCCUGGGGGUUGACAAGGGGAUAAGGAGCAUAUUUGAUACACUUCUUGUUUUGCUAAAAUUCUUUUGCUGCAGCAGCUAGAAAUGUAAAAGUCUCAAAAUUGUGAACGAGGAUUAACUACUAUUCUGAAAUUGAUCUCUCUUGCUAUGUAAUAACAGCUCCGGAAACCAACACGUGAAGAUCCUCACCAGCGGGACCCUAAGCUGCCAAAUUCCCAGAGAGAAAUUAAGUCAUUGUGAGGCUCACUGCUGAGAGAGUGUCAGCCACGAGCAAUAGAUCACUAGUGUUACUAAUAGGCUCCUCACCAACACAGCUGCCUGGAAUUGGCAAGUCGAGCUCUUCUGGGAUCAGCCAAAGAGGACACCUGGGCUCCUCCCCAUGUAGGUGGUUUUGUGGCCCUACUUGCAUCCAAACAGCCCUUAAUACACACAAAAUUGUCGGAGUGUUUUUUGCUUUUUCCAGAUAAAGGGAAUUGGAGGGUAACCUGUGGUUCUAAACAUGCAGUUAAGAAAGAAUGGUAGAAUGGUUUUACUUGCCGGAAUUAAGGUGGUGAAGUUCUGUUAGAAGUAAGGUUACUGCCCAGUCGCACAGGGUGAGAACUGCAGAUGGCUCACCCAGAGAACCAACCAUUAACGUUCUGGUAUUGCCCUGGUCUACGCGCUGCAGUCUGAUUUUCCUAGGAAAGUUCUUGCAUUUUGGCUAUAGUUUCAAGUAACCUAAAACUGGCUUCAUUUAAGGUGUUAGCUAGCUGCCAAGCCUUAGCCAUUUUUUCCAUGCUUGCUUGCUUCCCUUAUCACCCUGAGGGGAUGCCAUUUUUAACACCUUGUGGUGUUAACCUUUUGAUGAAGAGGCCCCUAUCUCCUGUGAUGAGAACCUUCCAGGAAGUGAGACAGACUCUGAUGCUUAUUAUAAGGCAGGAGCCUACUCUGCCUCCAGAGUAUACCCAGAUGCCUCUCUAAAUGUGUUCCAUGAAUACUUAGUUAAGGCAGACAUGUGAUGACUAAAAUUCAUGAUACUGGGAAUUUGGAGAGGAGAUGGAAAUAACAUGGAAGUAUUGACAGUUUGAGGUAGAGCACUUAGAAAGUUUCAUAUGUUGGCUGAGUGGUUAUUACACAAGCGUGUGCCUUUGUUCCAUGUUUACUUGAUUCGGCCAGAAAGCACAUUUCCCAAAAGCAAAUCCAAUACAACUUUGCGCAUAAUUCUCACUGUCUUAAGUAGGAGCUGGGAUGGAUGCAUUAACCCUUCAAACAAUUGCUGCCUAUUCCAUACCUAAGUGGCUUUGGCUUGGAGAUGGCAAUAUUUCUGCUCCUCAUGUCCUGUGUCUCUCUCUGCCCCCAACUUUGUUUCCUCUAGGAUGGUUUCUUUGCUGUUUAGUAGGUACUGUUUCGUGUUCUUUUAUUUCUCAAUAAGAGGGCUCUGGUUAGUGGCUGCUAUGUGGCUUCUGGAAAAUAUACAACUCUUGGAGCUCUAUUAAGCAUCCUCCUUUUUGUCUGUUCCUUUCGUGUGUGCUUUACCUUUCAUCAUUUGAGGGACUGGAUCAAAAUAUUAGUUGGGAUUCUAGAGUUAGGAACUGUUGUACCCAUCACCCUUUAUAGGUCAGGAAACUGAGCAAUCAAAAGUUAAGUUUCUUUUCUGUGUUACAAAGCCAGUAGGCAGGAGCCCCCUAAUCUGAAGCCACAGUCACUUUACUACAAUGGGUGCCUCUGGGUGAUGCAUGUCACCGAGUACGGAUGUCUCCAUUUAUCCCUGAGUGAAAUUCAGUCACCUCUGUGUUUACACUCUCAGUUUACACUAAGACUCUGUGUUUAUACCUCUUGUGUUUACAACUGAGACACACGGGACAGCGCAACUUGAGAAUUAACAUCAUAGAAGGUGUCAACUGAAGAAUGAGAAAGUUCAUGAAUUUGGAAAGGAGAGCUUUAUUUUUCAUAAAGCGUGGCCACUGGCAGGGUAGCCAUUGCUACAGUCUGGAAAGUGUAGCCUCCAGCCAGAAACCAGAAACACACUUCCAGGUUGGGAAAAAUAAGACAGGAAUUUAUGCUGAGUGGAGUGGCCAAAUACACAGUAAACUAUAGGAGGAGUCAUGAAUAUUUAUGAAAGAUGUACAUGUGCAAUUAAGCUUCAUGACUCUUGAUGGGUUACAUGUACAAAAAAAUGGUAUUAGCAUGAUUCUGGGGUGGAGUUUUUGGCCCUCUUGGGUCAAAAGGUGAAGCAGAGGACACAACUCUCAUGGUACAUCUUCUAUAGACUAGCCAGAGCCACUCCAUGGUCCAUUGUCUCUUAGGAAGGAAUGCUGGUUGCUUGGUUUGUUGAAACCUUAAAAGGAAGGGGCAGCAUCAAGUGGUUGGUUCAUAUCAAUAGUAGAGGCCAGGUGCAGUGGCUCACACCUGCAGUCCCAGCACUGUGAGGAUUCCUUGAGUUUGAGGAGUUCAAGACCAGCUUGGGCAACAGAGCAACACCUCAUCUCUACCCAGAACAAAAAAACCACCAGUGCAAUGGUACGUGGCUGUAAUCCCAGCUACUCUGGAGGCUGAGGUAAGAGGACUGCUUGAGCCCAGGAGGUCAAGGCUGUGGUGAGCUAUGAUUGUGCCACUAUACUUCAGCCUGGGGGAUACAGUGAGACCCUCAAAGAUAGCAGGGGUGGAGCAAGUCUUUCCCAAAGGGCUGGUUUCUGUUUAACCCUUAAGAAAGAAGGCUGGGUACUGUGGCUCAUGCCUGUGACCCCAGCACUUUGGGAGGGUGAGAUGGACAGAUUGCUUGAGCCCAGGAGCUCAAGACCAGCCUGGGCAACACAAGGAAACCUCAUCUCUACCAAAAA
rnacentral:lncRNA from 1 species